rnacentral:rRNA from 1 species
AGUGAACGCUGGCGGUAGGCCUAACACAUGCAAGUCGAACGGCAGCACAGUAAGAGCUUGCUCUUACGGGUGGCGAGUGGCGGACGGGUGAGGAAUACAUCGGAAUCUACUUUUUCGUGGGGGGUAACGUAGGGAAACUUACGCUAAUACCGCAUACGACCUACGGGUGAAAGCAGGGGAUCUUCGGACCUUGCGCGAUUGAAUGAGCCGAUGUCGGAUUAGCUAGUUGGCGGGGUAAAGGCCCACCAAGGCGACGAUCCGUAGCUGGUCUGAGAGGAUGAUCAGCCACACUGGAACUGAGACACGGUCCAGACUCCUACGGGAGGCAGCAGUGGGGAAUAUUGGACAAUGGGCGCAAGCCUGAUCCAGCCAUACCGCGUGGGUGAAGAAGGCCUUCGGGUUGUAAAGCCCUUUUGUCGGGAAAGAAAAGCAGCAGGUUAAUACCCCGCUGUUCUGACGGUACCCAAAGAAUAAGCACCGGCUAACUUCGUG